AUCCAGCUGACGAGUGACAAAUAAGACGAAACGCGAAUCCUGCAU
rfam:Schistosoma mansoni, Puerto Rico, WGS project CABG01000000 data, contig: 0132